rnacentral:rRNA from 1 species
CCUACGGGAGGCAGCAGUGAGGAAUAUUGGUCAAUGGCCGAGAGGCUGAACCAGCCAAGUCGCGUGAGGGAAGAAUGUCCUAUGGAUUGUAAACCUCUUUUGUCAGGGAGCAAAGUCACCCACGUGUGGGUGUUGGAGAGUACCUGAAGAAAAAGCAUCGGCUAACUCCGUGCCAGCAGCCGCGGUAAUACGGAGGAUGUGAGCGUUAUCCGGAUUUAUUGGGGUUAAAGGGUGCGUAGGCGGGUUAUCAAGUCAGCGGUAAAAUCGUGGAGCUCAACUCCAUCCAGCCGUUGAAACUGAUGAUCUUGAGUGGGCGAGAAGUAUGAGGAAUGCGUGGUGUAGCGGUGAAAUGCAUAGAUAUCACGCAGAACUCCGAUUGCGAAGGCAGCAUACCGGCGCCCGACUGACGCUGAAGCACGAAAGCGUGGGUAGCGAACAGGAUUAGAUACCCCAGUAGUC